UUUUAUUUACAACAAAAUUGUCUCGCGAUGUACCGCGGGUUUACCACAUAUAUCUAUGAAUUUACUUAUAAUACAAAUUUAUAAAAUUAUAUUAAAUUAAAUAAAAUAAACAUAUACAAAACUAAAUUAUAUAAAUCAACUACGAAAAUGAUCAAGCAAAGAAAUAUAUUAAAUUAUGGACUCGUGGUGUACCACGGGG
rnacentral:lncRNA from 1 species